rnacentral:rRNA from 1 species
UACGAAGGGGGCUAGCGUUGCUCGGAAUCACUGGGCGUAAAGGGUGCGUAGGCGGGUCUUUAAGUCAGGGGUGAAAUCCUGGAGCUCAACUCCAGAACUGCCUUUGAUACUGAAGAUCUUGAGUUCGGGAGAGGUGAGUGGAACUGCGAGUGUAGAGGUGAAAUUCGUAGAUAUCGCAAGAACACCAGUGGCGAAGGCGGCUCACUGGCCCGAUACUGACGCUGAGGCACGAAAGCGUGGGAGCAAACAGG